GUGAGAUCACGCCACUGAACUCCAGCCUGGGUGACAGAGCCAGACCCUAUCUAAAACAAACAAACAAACAAACAAACAAAACUGUUGCAUUAUUGAACUGCAUAUACUCCUCCCAAAAGCCCUACGAGUUUGAUCAAAACCACCUGGAGAGCCUGUGAAAACAGAUUCUGAAUCAGUGAGGCUGGGGCUGGGUUCGAGAUUCUGUGGUUCUACAAGUUCUCAGGGGAUGC
rnacentral:lncRNA from 1 species